AAAAGGCACUCUGACAUCAAUCAACAUUUUAUUCUGUGAGCAGAAUUUUGCCUCACACUUAAGUCUAAAUUAGUCCAUGACAUCUUCCAAUUCUUAUUUUGUAGUCAUUAUCUGUGUGAUCCCUAUGUUCCAAGGGAGGCAAUGUGCCUCCUGCCACAGGUUUCCCUUGCAGCAUCUGGGCUCUGUAGCCUUAUCCUGACAAUCAGCAUCUCACGCUGGUGACAUACUCCGUUUAUUGCUGCAAUGGAACCAACCAGUUCCACUGAAAACCACAGAGGUGAACAGGUCUGUGAUACUCCCAAAAAGGUUACACAUGAGAAUUGUCCAAGACAGAAAAACACAAAAGCAUCAUUAGUUCUAAGAUCACAGAGUGAGCUUUCUGAUACCACCUACAGAGGGAGCACGAGAAGGAUGAGGUGCUUCUGUGAAACUUCUGCAUGAUUGAUGGCUCCAGGAAAAGCACUGUGGGGUUUGGACGGAAUUCCCUGAAUUUCUGACUUAAUGAUUGUGAGCUCACAUGUCUGUGUCAGUGUGUUCUGACUGGCAACAUGUAGUCAAUUCUGGUAUACUGGGAGCAUUCCAUCUUCUCUCAGGAGACAGAAUAGACAUUUGAGGGUAAAUGAUGCUUGAAUGGACAGGGCCUCCUGCAGAGGCUGUGAACAAGCUGCCACAGCAAAACUUUGCAGCAGCACUGCCUUCCCCAUUUCCUCCUCCCCACUGACUGUAGCAGCAGAACUCCAUGAGCAGUGAUGGCACCUCUUAUGGUGGCCAGAGACUGAAGUUGAACAGCUUUUUAAGAGGCAGUACUGCAGCCCCAUGAGGACAGAAGCUUCCCCACAGCUCCAUUGAAAAGAAGUCUGCUGAAAAAAUGUCUGCCUGAAAACAGCUCUAGGCCCUGGAACUUUACUAACCCCUGACAGAAGUCUGAGGGGAAAAAGAAGAAUAAUUCAAAGGUCAAAGGAAUCCUUGCAGCAAGACCCCUGUCCGCUGCCAGUUCCUGGUCCAGCAGUCAGAAGAAUGAAGACGGUCUAGCAAAGAAUUUUUCUACACAGGCUAUUUCAUGACAAGAAAUGAAAGAAUAAAAAGAAAGAAAGAAUAGGAAAACAAAACAAAACAAAGCAGAGGGGCUCAGAAAUUUUUCAUGUGCUUCUGUUGCUGUUUGCUUCGCUGGCCUUCCUCAGUGCCCACUUCUUCAGGCUUGGAAAAGCAGCCAUCCUUGCAGGAGGUUUCUCAAGCGCUGGGAUAAGAGGCAACAUAAAAGCCGUGCCUUGCUUCAGUUUUUCCCUGGUCAUUGGCAUGAUACUGCCUGAGUAUGGCUUGGCAUAGGAGAUGGGAGGUGAAAGAGGGGCAGACACUUGAUCUGGACAUGGAAGCAGCAGAUCCAUGAAUGCUUCUGCUGAAAAUGGGAUUUGUUCAGCCUCAGGGUGCCAAGCUGUUCACGGAAGGUGACAUGUUAGUGAGCAGCUUUGCUGCUGCCAUGAAAUUGAUUUUUAUGACCCAGGACGAGGACAAAACAAUUUAAUCUUCAUCUGUGGGGCAGAAAAAAGCAUUUGCCUGCUUUGCUGAGGACACUGAGCAUUCCUUGUUCACUGGAGCUAGAAGAAAUGAAUCACCCUUCUUCUGCAACUGAGGCCAUCAUUUAUAUCAAUGCAGUUAACUGCUAUCAAGUCAAUUUAGGCCCAUUUCAACCCAAAGGAGAAAAUCUGAUAUGUGACUGAAACUUCUGUUAUUGGGUUAAAUUAGACUCUGCUUAAAUUCUGCUCAAAAAAGAUUAGAACUGGCCUUUUAAUUUAGACACAAACAAUAUAAAAAUUACCAGAACCUUAGUGAAUUUGAUCUAUAGUUCAUCCCAGAUCCCCUAUGGGCUACUAGGUAAGACUCAAUUUCUCUUAAAAUUAAUAGAUCCAACAUGUGUUAUUCAUGACAUUCUCCAACUUCUUGCAUCAGUUAAUGACAGUUCUGAAUAUAACCAUUUUUAACAUUAAAAAUAACUGCAGGUGGUUCUGAGGUAUAUAGGCAGAAAUACAAAAAAAAUGCAUUUCUCCCUUUUUGACCAAGUAGGGAAUUUGCAGAUUUUAAAAACUGCUGCAACAAUGAGUCUAAAAAGAGUCUGAAAAAAUAGGCUUGGGACAUAUUGGAAUGAAAAUGGAUGUUAAUACUACAGAUUUGGGAAACCAAUAAAUAAAAUAGCAUGGAUUUUGUAAACUGAUCAUACUUUGUCUUUAGCUUAAGCAGUAUCUCCCCUUAAUCUAUUUAAUUCCUUUCGCUCUUGGAGAAAUAUUGCUGUUCGGUUUUUUGUUUGUUUAUUUGUUUUUAAUAGAAAUCAUACACAUUAAAUGAAUAAUUGCUUUGUACUGUUGGUUCAGUUUCUAUUUAAAAUGUAAUUCACAGAUAAACUCUGUAUUCCCUGCAGAUUUUAUGAAUUAAAAGGCACGUACUUCUCUUUCACAAGCUAGGAGCUCUUAAGCACUGUAAGUCAGCAAUAUCUAAGCAGACAGAUAAUUACUCCUUUAUUAUACCUCUAAGACACAUUACUUGGAACUUCACAUGCAACUCUGAAUAAAGCUCUUUCUUCAAGGUGCUGGAGAGCUUGCCUAACACCUGGAGGUGGUAAACAUUUCUUCAGUCUGCCAAGCUUGUACAACAAUUGGGAGCUUCAUGCUUCAGUUAUAAAUUCUAUUUCAGAAUGAGAAAUCAUUUUGUCCUACUCAGUCUAAGCUUGGCUUCACUCUUGGCUAUCCAGACUUUUCAGAGAACUGUGAAUAUUAUCAGAUUCCUAGGUAUGGCAGCUGAGGUUGUAAUCAUCCUUUCACAUGUUAAAAAUGUGUAUAUUGAAAUGUAUGUAUACACAAGGAACAGCAUCUCAUAUUACAAAAAAUUAGAUCAAAUCUUGCACUCUAAAUCCUUUAUUUAGUUUAGCACUUCUGGGACCUGGCUAACUGGGAAGUAGGAUUUAUUUUUCUUAUGUUUCCUGUAUUCCUAUAUUUGCACUUGUUCCACACCUUAAUGUACCACAGAACCAAGAACAGGAAGUAAUCAUCUGAUAUAUAGUUUUAUGAUUGCAAUGGUAGCAUCCAGGACUUACAAUUUUAUGCUUAGUCACAUGCUUUUUUUUUUUUUUGUUUUGUUAUUUCUUUUCCUCAAGUUCCUUCCUGCCUUUCUCACACAUGUACAGAGGACAUUUUGUGUCCUCGUAAAUGCUAAAUACUUGCCAAAGGCUUUAUGCCCUCCUCUCAAAAAUUCUUUCUAGAGAGUACAAUCUAUUGUUUAAUUCUAUUACAAUUUUCUGCUCGUCAAUUUUGUACAUUAGAAUGUAUUACAAGAAAAUAGUUGAAAUUUGUUGUAGACAUUUCAUUUGCUGUAAUAAGUAUUUUGUUCAUAGAUAUACAGCAGAUUGGUCUCACUAUGAGAAGUUUGUCCUCAAAAUUUCUGUCCAUCCCAUUUAGCCUUUGGGUAAGAAAAUAUGAAACAUCAGUCAGAACAUCAAUCCCAAUACUGUGUCUUAUAGUGGCAAUUCAAGAUACUAUUGUCUAGAGUCCAUUUCCAGUAUCCACAAGACUUGGUAUAAAUACCUUAGAAGGUAACAUACAUCACUGCCUGUUCCCAUUAAUGAAUUUGUUUAAUCUCUAUCAAGUUUGUCUAUUUUAAAUUCAUUUUACCAAGUGAUCUCUAGUUCUAGCAAGAUUUAGUGAAUUUUACUUUUGCACUGACCAUUCAACCACUUUGUUUUGUAAAUCUUACUCCUUUUUCCCUUUAGCCUUCUCAUUUUCAUAUUGAACAGCUUCAGCCUUUUUUGUCUUUCCUAACAAGUCUGUCAUGACAGCAUCUCAAUAACUUGACUGCCUUACCUGUAUCCUGUUUAACUCUUCUCUACUCUUGUUAAUAGUCCAGAAGUUUGAAAUUCUGAAAAUAUGGGUUUACAUAUUGUUAAAAUGGGGUUUCUUGAUUUAUUCUCAAUAUUUUUUCCUGAUGAUGCUGUAUGUUUUGAUGCCUUUUUUUGUCUGCCACCAACGUUAGGCCAAUGAUUUAACUAAACUGACUGUGAUGUAUACAAGAUCAUUUUACAGAACCGAAAUGGCCAGUUCUGAAUUUUUCACUUCAGGUUACUCUUCUCUAGAUGCGUCACUUUUCGUUUAGAAACAGUGAAACUAAUUUGGUGCAUUUUAUCAACUCCGUAUUGUAAACUCCUUUUGGAGCACCUUACAGUCUACCAGAAGAGCUUAUUAUUCUUUGGACAUGCAGAUUUUGUUGCAUUUUCCUUUCCAGAUCACUAGAAUAGAUGGUGAAUAAAUUUGGACCCACCACCAGACCCUGCAGGACUUCACUGCUGAUGUUUCUCCACCCUAAAAAGCAAUACUCUUUAAUUCCUACCCUUCAUCCACCAUCUCAUCAAUAAAACAUAAUUCCCUACA